CCGACCAAAAUGAAUCAGUGAUUUUGUUUUUGUCGUAAGAGUGAGUUUUAAACACUCCCCUCUCUCUCUCUCUCAUCGUAGUUUCGGUUUAGAUAGGACCGGGUUUGAUUGUUGAAUUAGGCGCAACUUAAUUUGAUCUCCGUCUAAAUCCGGAUAAGGAGAAAAAGAAAGAAGAAGAAGAGUGUAAGAGGAGGAGACGGAGAUGGUGUUAUUCCCGGGUUUCAAGGCGGCGAUCCCAUCGGCUCGUAAUAUCUGCAACUUCUGAUUAUGUCUUACGGUUAGUCUGUAUGCGUCGAAAUUUCCUCUAAUUGCUCGCUAGAUCGGGUCAAUUGAUAUGUAUGUAAUGUAACAUGUGGUUAUAUCUAUCUUUGCCUAAGAAUUCCAUUAAAGACUGAGAUUUAACCACCAAGGGAUUUGUAGCCACGGCUAAUCCGAGCUCACCCGAUUGAGGUAAGAAUGGUUACUACUUGUUUUCUAUUACACAGUGUUCCAUGUUGCUGUUCUUUGGCGUGCCAGUCUUGUGAUUUACUUGUUUUUGUUUUCCACAUUCCUUCGACAGGUUUUGUGGAAUCCUUACAAAUAUUUUGCUUCUAACUAUUAGAUUAGGUAUAAUAUCAGUCGAUCAUCUGAGAGUAUUAUUAGCCAAAGAUUAUAUUACAAAGUAUAGAGGAAUAAAGCCGUUAAAGGCUGGUUAAGAGAUUGCCUAAAUUACAUAUAAAGAUAUAUAAUUUCCUAUUCUAAUACUAACUGCUAGCAAAGAGACGUCACAUGAAUCUGUUGCUGAAACCAAGGAACCCAAAAGAAGCCCUUGUGAAGAAAGAUGUGCUAUCCAUCCAUACCAUGCCCAAAGGUAAAUGAGAGCUUCUUUUUUUUAAGCUCUAUCUUUGCUUUGUGAUCUUCUCUUGUGACCUAUCUUUCUUGUCUCUGGAAAUUGAAUUUUCCAAUCUUGUUUGCUGCCUUUACUUUCCCCCUUCCCUUAUCCGCAUGCCAUGGCUUAUUUGUAAACCUAUCAUGUUCAUGUUCUUACAUACUGCAAAGUGAAAAGCUGAUUUGGCGCUGCUGCUCCUUCGAGACAAACCGCUCACCGAGCUUGAUGCAGCUGCAACUACGUUACAUAAGGUGUACAAGAGUUACCGGAUUAUGAAGGAGCCUAGCAGAUUGCGCGGUCGUUGUUGAGGACCUCUGGUUACUGGUUAGUUACUCACUUACUUGAUUUAUCUUCGUCUUUGAAAUGGGUUUACACUAACCAUUGGUAUUGCUUGAAAUUUUGAUGGUAGAAAGACUCUGAGUUUGAGCUCUCUGUGUCUUUCUUUGAAGAAGAGAAACAUGAGACCGCUGAUCAAAAAUAUCGGCACAAGCUGCUAAGGUCUGACAUCAUUUUUUCUCUGCUUAGCUUCUUAGGUCAAGGUG
rnacentral:lncRNA from 1 species